rnacentral:rRNA from 2 species
UCGAGCGGACAGAUGGGAGCUUGCUCCCUGAUGUUAGCGGCGGACGGGUGAGUAACACGUGGGUAACCUGCCUGUAAGACUGGGAUAACUCCGGGAAACCGGGGCUAAUACCGGAUGGUUGUUUGAACCGCAUGGUUCAGACAUAAAAGGUGGCUUCGGCUACCACUUACAGAUGGACCCGCGGCGCAUUAGCUAGUUGGUGAGGUAACGGCUCACCAAGGCGACGAUGCGUAGCCGACCUGAGAGGGUGAUCGGCCACACUGGGACUGAGACACGGCCCAGACUCCUACGGGAGGCAGCAGUAGGGAAUCUUCCGCAAUGGACGAAAGUCUGACGGAGCAACGCCGCGUGAGUGAUGAAGGUUUUCGGAUCGUAAAGCUCUGUUGUUAGGGAAGAACAAGUGCCGUUCAAAUAGGGCGGCACCUUGACGGUACCUAACCAGAAAGCCACGGCUAACUACGUGCCAGCAGCCGCGGUAAUACGUAGGUGGCAAGCGUUGUCCGGAAUUAUUGGGCGUAAAGGGCUCGCAGGCGGUUUCUUAAGUCUGAUGUGAAAGCCCCCGGCUCAACCGGGGAGGGUCAUUGGAAACUGGGGAACUUGAGUGCAGAAGAGGAGAGUGGAAUUCCACGUGUAGCGGUGAAAUGCGUAGAGAUGUGGAGGAACACCAGUGGCGAAGGCGACUCUCUGGUCUGUAACUGACGCUGAGGAGCGAAAGCGUGGGGAGCGAACAGGAUUAGAUACCCUGGUAGUCCACGCCGUAAACGAUGAGUG